rnacentral:sRNA from 1 species
CAAGAGAAGCGGCGUUGGACUUGGCGU